CCCUUUCUAUACAGGUCCUUCUGGUUUUCUCUAUUCUUGUUGGAACCAGCACAUGGGUUGAUCUUUUGGGGGUGAUAGCAGGCCAUGCUUAUUAUUACCUCGAAGAUGUUUAUCCCCGAAUGACAGGUCGGCGACCCCUCAAGACUCCCAGUUUCAUCAAAGCUUUGUUUGCAGAUGAUAAUGUUGUUGUAGCCCGGCCAGGAAAUGCCCAAUUUGCUGCCCCUCCCCUGCAGGAACCCCAUCAAGAUUAAUCAUAUUUUCACGGUUGUUUAUAGUUCCAAGCUUUUAUAAUAUAUUAUUGCUAUUCCAAGUCAGUUAUAUUUAUCUGGAGGCAUAUAUUUUCUCUGAUGUUGGCCACUGAUUUCUCUUAAUGUGGGGUUGGUUUGGUCCAUGAAUAGAUGGUUUAUGAGGUUUGAUUGGUUUUAGUCUUCUGUAUAUAAUGUCACAAAUUCCUUUUUUUUUUGGGUCCUUAAGAACUGAAUUCUGGGUAUUCUAUGUGUAAAUGCUCAUUCUAAUAACAACAAACUGACUUCUUUCGAGUUGUUUUUGGAA